rnacentral:lncRNA from 1 species
UUUCUUCUUUUUAGGUUUUCCUGCAACGAUCUUCCAUUUCAUGGAAUGAAUGCCAGUGAAUGACUAGUCAGGCCCAGAAUAGGAAGUGCUGACUGUUUACGUGGAACAAUGCUUAUGACACAUUGUUGAGUGAUGAAGGAGGAACUCAGGACAACGUGACUCCAGUGAUUGUCAUCAUCCACCUCCGCCAUGUAUAAGAAAGUGGAACUGAGUCAUAUCCUACUGCACCAAGCAGCCCUGGUUGAUGGUUUUAGUACUGUUUAUUUUCUAUUACCACAGCAAUACUGGCUCUUUCACUCACUCCUUGUGGGUCUCUGAGCAAAUAAAUAAACUGUGUUUUAGUUUGGGGGAUUAUAAAGUAUAAAUUUGAGAUGUUGAUUUGUAGUAUGAUAGCUUUGACUAUUUGUGAAACAAAAUGGGCUCAUUAGUGUUUUACCACCAAAAGCGUCAAGGAAAAUCCUCAUAACCAAUAGGUACUUAAGUCAAAUAUACAUGCCAUGUUAUUCAGACUCAAAAUGCCAGUGCCAUAAUUUCUGUGAGUUGGUGCCACAAUGGGUAAGGCCAGGGCAAUGUGAAUGUGCUAUCCAUGGUUCUUGAUGACAGCUAGAUUGCAUAAUCAAACAUCUAUAUUACACUAAGGAUGCAUCAUUCUUAUUCAUAGUGUACUUUUUUCUUUUUUAAUUUUUAUUUUCUUGAUUUUUGGGAAGAUUAUGCUUUUAUUAUUUUUUUCCAUUUUAGAAAUUACUUUUCUUUUUUUACUUUCUGUGUGUGUGUGUUUGGGGGGGUGGUGUGAUAAAGCUUAGAUGGCAUGAAGAUGGAGGCCAGAGUGGGUUUUCUUUUCUCCUAUCAUGUGGGCUCUCCAGGCUUGAAAGUAAGUAUCCUUAUUCAUGGAGCUAUCUCUCCAGUCUGAUAUUUAUUAUUCUUCACUACAUACCAGAGCAAUUCCAGUUAAGGUUGCAAUUUGUACACUCCUCUGCGUGCUAUCUCCACUUAAAAAAAUCUUCUUCUGAGUUAUUGUGAUGUCAAGCCUCCCACUUGGACCAUUGUGAAUAUCUACAGUUAGCUUUAUUUCAUCCCAGCUCAACCGGGAACGGGUAGAUGACACACUGCUAAAAGGUAGGAAUAAAGGAAGUGGCCUGGACA